GAGCACGGGCUGGAGUGGGCGUGAAGCCCAGAGGAAGGAGGGGCAGAGCGAAUGCAAAACAAACAAAGACGCUGCGUUUUGCUUUGAGCCGCGACAUCAUUGAGCACGCCACGUCGGUAUUUUUUUUUUUAAAGCAGCAGGAGUUGCGCGCGCAAGUCGAGAGCCUGAGGGAGUUGUAUGCUAGCUCGCUCGCUCGAGCAGCGCGCGCGCGGACGGGCGGGCUUUCCUCCAUCUGGGCGGUAACGAGCGCGUGCAUGGGCGGGCGCGGGCGCGCGCGGCGGUGUGCUGCUGCUGCUACUACUAAUAUCCGCCUCCCUAAAAAGCGAGGGUAGCGACGCUAAGGGCGACCGGCCUCGGGCAGGAGAGAACCUCGGUACUUUUUUUUCUUUUUGCUCGGCAGCUUUUGAAGUCAACAACUACCUAGAGCCCCCCCACUCACCGCGCCCACGGCAACGGAAAGCUCAUCAGUCUACUCAGCUCAUACCUGAAAACCAUAUUAAAAAUGGCUGCUAAUAAAGCAAAAAGUCAAAGCUCUCUUGCCCUUCACAAAGUAAUCAUGGUGGGUAGUGGAGGCGUGGGCAAAUCAGCACUUACACUUCAGUUUAUGUAUGAUGAGUUUGUUGAAGACUAUGAACCAACCAAGGCUGAUAGUUACAGAAAAAAAGUUGUUCUAGAUGGUGAAGAAGUCCAAAUAGAUAUUCUGGAUACAGCUGGGCAAGAAGAUUAUGCAGCUAUUCGAGACAACUAUUUCCGGAGUGGAGAAGGUUUUCUCUUAGUUUUCUCCAUUACUGAGCAUGAAUCAUUUACAGCCACAGCAGAAUUUAGAGAACAGAUUCUCCGUGUAAAAGCUGAAGAGGAUAAAAUACCAUUACUAGUAGUGGGAAAUAAAUCAGACUUGGAGGACCGUCGACAAGUGCCUGUAGAAGCUGCUCGAAGUAAAGCAGAAGAGUGGGGGGUGCAGUAUGUAGAGACAUCAGCAAAAACAAGAGCAAAUGUAGAUAAGGUAUUUUUUGAUUUGAUGCGAGAAAUUAGAUCCAAGAAAAUGUCAGACAAUAAAGACAAGAAUGGCAAAAAAAGCAGCAAGAAUAAGAAGAGUUUUAAAGAACGAUGUUGCUUAUUGUGACCUUUAAGAGCUACACUAAUAGGUGACAGUACUAACAAGACAUUUUACUACUAACAAUAGAGGACUGAAUUAAUAGGAAGAAACCUGAAUUCAAUACAUUUUUCAACUCACAUUGAUAUAAGAAUAGAAGUUCAACAGAUCCAUGUAUACCAAGAAGGAUGAUUCUUGACAGCAGCUGUCACUGGAUGUGAGAGGAACCCUCAAAAAGCACCAACCUGGAGAAAAUUCUGUUGAACAGAUAUACUUUAUAUAAAUGCUCUUAUGUGGUCAGUCAUAAAAAUACGUUUUCAGAUUACAGCGUUUUUUCAAAAUUCCAAGAAUCCGCAUGUAUCAGGAUGCUUUGGAAGAUUUAAAAUAUCCAGCUUAGAUCUGGGCAUGCUUUAAGAGAGAGGGGGUUUUAAGAAUUGGGAUUAUGAUACCACAUAAAACUAAGUCACAUAAAUCAAUGAGCCAGCAUUCUGUCCCUUCACCUCAGUAUUUUUUUUAAAAAAAACUUUUUUGAAUUGUUAUGUUUAUGUUGGAGUAUAUACACUGUUUUCAUUUAGUAUGUGUAGUAUGUCAUUUUUAGCAAAGGUUAUAGAAGGCUGCAAAAAUGAGGCCUGUACCUCAUUUCAUAUGGUCCUAUAUCCAUGACUUGAAAAAGUGAUAAAACAGCUGUUUCAGAGAUAAGCAACGUUGGAAAAUAGGGAAAUAAACAGGUAGCAGUAUGAAGAAGAAGAAAAAUACAACCAUGUCUGGAUAUUUAAAAAGUUAAAGGCUAUUGUCUGAGUAUAAAGAUUAGGAUUUAUCAAUUAAGAUUAUUUGAAAAAACAACUGAUAACGCUAAAAUAGGAAACCUAUAAAGAAGUUUUAUUUACUUUAUAUUGGCAUAAUAAAACAGUGCUAAAUGAUGAAUGAAUGUAUAAGAUGAAGCAGAUAUUGAGUUCGCAUAUUACUAUGGGUUAGAGAAGGCAGGGUGUGACUAAAUAUGUUUAUGGGAACUGGCGAGACUAAUAAAAUACCACAGAUUGCUCUUCUAACAAUCGAAGUAUGGACGUGGUUCAGUGUCAUCUAUCCUGAACGCAGAUGUAGAUGUCAUAAUUUUCAGAUAUAUAGAGCUUUGAGUAACAAAGCAUUCUUUGGAGAUAUAGUUUUGACAGUUACAACAAUCUGAAACCUGUGGAUUUCAUCUUGAACAGGGAUGGGCAGUAUGUAACUUUCCAGAUGUUGUUGAAGGUCAGCCCCAGUAAUCAUAGCAUAUGCUAGCUAAUAGGAAGGGACACAGGUGUUGAAGAACCCUCUUUGGAGGACCAAAAUUUGCUCAACUCCAAGGUAGAUGUUUUAUGUUGUUGAUACAUAGAAGCUUUCAGAAAUCAUGAAGGAAGAUAGAGCUUCACAGCAAUCUCUGAAAUAAGUUAACAUGAGAAACUUGAGCAAUGAGAAACUUGAACAAAAAGAACCUUGGUAAUUAAAAAAAGAAGCUAUGGGAUUUAUGCAAUAAGAAAGCAAGCAAAAAAGAUAUUCAUGUCUCCUGUUUUUAUAUGUAGAACAUAAAUAUUGUAAUUAAAUUACUGUAGAAAGAGCUAUAGAAAUUUACUAGAGAAAAUAACUUGCAUAGUUUAGAGAUUACUUUAGCAUUUUGUUUUAAUCUUUGCAAGUGGCUCAGAAUCACUUGUGUGAGAUGCAUGGCCAUAUAAAUUUAGGCAUACACAGAGAUUCAGGGUUUAGGAUGGAAUUUGAGAAAGGCUUUAGUUUUUGAAACAUCCAUAUAAGCCUUGCGGUUACAGAACUGUUGUAACUCUUUGAGAGAGAUACUUCUUAAUAUACCUUGCAAACCACUUCUUUUUCAUGCUUUGUACAGCCGUAAUACUCUGAUCCAUAGGUGUCAAACUUGCCGCGUCACAUCAUCGUCAUAUGACAUUUCACAAUAUUUUUUCCCCUUUGUGGAGCUGAGGUGGGCAUGGCCUGCAUGUGACACACUUGGCCCACGGGCCACCAGUUGACACCCCUGCUCUAAUCCUUUAUUCAGUGGAAAUUUAUUCCAAUGUCAGAACUGCUUGCUGCCUAAAUUCAUUAAAUUAAACGUAUUCCCUAUAAUGCCGUAAAAAUGAAGCAAUUUAUUUAGAAGUUGUUUACUUUAAAAGAUGUGAAAUCAGUAUUUAACAUUGUUUAAAAAUUAAACCAUGAGUUUGCUUGGUUCUUCAGUUGUUGAAUUAUAAUUCCUAGCAUCCCUCAUCCUUGCUUAUGCUGCUUUGGUUUGUUGCAAAUUCAAAUUCUGCAUUUCCUGGCAUAAUUGCUUGGCUGCUUAUACUGAAGUAUUUAAAUGAUCUAAUAGCAAAUGGUACACAUUCUUCAGAGGAUUUGAAAUGUGAUAGCAUCAGUGACUGCGUAUUCACAACAAUUGGGGACAGUAAACAUAGGAAGAUGUCUCACAGUGACUCACGUCAUUGGAUCUAACUCAGUAUUAGUCCUACUCUGAUCAGUUGCAGUCCAAAAUUCUUAAUUUUGACAUUUUUCAAUCUUGCUUGAAAUAAGUUAUGAAAUUUGGUAUAUGUAAUUUGGUUUUUAUUAAGUAAAUGAAUGCAUUUUUCUCCUGCUUCUGAAUGCAUUUUUCUCCUGCCUAUAAACCCGCUGCUGGGAAUCUGGAUCUUAAGGAUCUUGAGAAGCAUAGGACCUACUUCUAAACUUUAUCCAUUCUAGGAAUUAUAGGAGAUGAAGUCUAUUCAUACUUGGAAAAUCACAGUCAUACAUGUUUGAGCUGUACUUGUAAAAGCAUCUGUACAAAUUGGAUUCUAUAUACGUGACAAUUAAUAAACCAUAUAUGGUCCCACACACUCAUUUUUGCACUUAAAUGCUAUGUAGUUUGAGUUGGAUUUCUCUGCUUAUUUUAUGAAUAUCUUAUGGACCAACACCAGUCAAGCAAAAUAACAAAAAAAGUUUGUGAGCAUGAUACUCAUUCCAUAAAGUAGUUGAUCAAAACAAUUGGAAUAUUAAAAUUUACUUAUAAUUAGGAAAUAAUUUUUAAAGACCCCAAAUUAUUUGUUCAGAAUUUUUGUAGGAGAGAGAACUCAAAAGUAUAUUUUCUUGUAAUAAAACAAACCCUGAGCCAUAUUAGAGGGAGAAAAACUAAUGGAUAUCUUACAAACUCAUAUUAAAUACAGUAAUUUUUAGUGAACUCUCUGCUUCAUUUUAGAUCCAUAAAAUAGUUUUGGAGAUUAUAUUUAUCUAUAGCUGGUUGUGCAAAAUGGGAAAUGAACAGAAAAGAAAUUUGAAGAAAAUAAUAUUUUUUUAAUCUUUAGAUGUAAAAUAUUAAACCAAAUGUUUUGAAAUGUAAUCCUCUGUAGUUUAUAUCUUUUCAAAAAUCUAAAUUACAACUCUGUUUUCAUUCUCAUGCUGAUUCCUUUCAUUAAAAAGGAAAACAGCUAUU